rnacentral:rRNA from 1 species
GACGAACGCUGGCGGCGUGCCUAAUACAUGCAAGUAGAACGCUGAAGAGAGGAGCUUGCUCUUCUUGGAUGAGUUGCGAACGGGUGAGUAACGCGUAGGUAACCUGCCUUGUAGCGGGGGAUAACUAUUGGAAACGAUAGCUAAUACCGCAUAACAAUGGAUGACACAUGUCAUUUAUUUGAAAGGGGCAAUUGCUCCACUACAAGAUGGACCUGCGUUGUAUUAGCUAGUAGGUGAGGUAAUGGCCCACCUAGGCGACGAUACAUAGCCGACCUGAGAGGGUGAUCGGCCACACUGGGACUGAGACACGGCCCAGACUCCUACGGGAGGCAGCAGUAGGGAAUCUUCGGCAAUGGGGGCAACCCUGACCGAGCAACGCCGCGUGAGUGAAGAAGGUUUUCGGAUCGUAAAGCUCUGUUGUAAGUCAAGAACGGGUGUGAGAGUGGAAAGUUCACACUGUGACGGUAGCUUACCAGAAAGGGACGGCUAACUACGUG